rnacentral:lncRNA from 1 species
AGUCUACUCUUCAUACCUCGACAUAUUAUUUCUUAAGGUAGUCAUGUAUGAUAUGGAACCAUCACUCAAUGUACUUAGAUUUUUUAUGAGAUCUGAGCUCCUUAGCAAGUGUUAUAGCUUCAUUGUUGUCGCAGUACAGUGGUAUGACAUCCAAUGUCAUUGUAUCAAGUUCUACAGUAAAUUUUUUGAACUAGAAGUCUUCUUUUGC